rnacentral:misc_RNA from 1 species
AAGUCGUAACAAGGUUUCCGUAGGUGAACCUGCGGAAGGAUCAUUAUUGAGAUCUUCAGUUGUGCUGGCCCUUGGGCAAGUGCACGCUGAAUAUUUAAACCACACCUGUGCAUUCAACGCGGCGAAAGCUGCUUUAUAUACACUACCAGUAACAUCAGAACGUUUAUUGUUGGCAAAUUAUAAUAACUUUCAACAACGGAUCUCUUGGCUCUC